rnacentral:rRNA from 1 species
GACGAACGCUGGCGGCGUGCUUAACACAUGCAGGUCGAACGGAAAGGCCCUGCUUUUGUGGGGUGCUCGAGUGGCGAACGGGUGAGUAACACGUGAGUAACCUGCCCUUGACUUUGGGAUAACUUCAGGAAACUGGGGCUAAUACCGGAUAGGAGCUCCUGCUGCAUGGUGGGGGUUGGAAAGUUUCGGCGGUUGGGGAUGGACUCGCGGCUUAUCAGCUUGUUGGUGGGGUAGUGGCUUACCAAGGCUUUGACGGGUAGCCGGCCUGAGAGGGUGACCGGCCACAUUGGGACUGAGAUACGGCCCAAACUCCUACGGGAGGCAGCAGUGGGGAAUAUUGCACAAUGGGCGGAAGCCUGAUGCAGCAACGCCGCGUGCGGGAUGACGGCCUUCGGGUUGUAAACCGCUUUCGCCUGUGACGAAGCGUGAGUGACGGUAAUGGGUAAAGAAGCACCGGCUAACUACGUG